UAAGAAUCACCUUUCCCUCUUCAGUUCAAAAAUCCGUUUUCCACCAUUAGGGAAACCCUGCCGGAGAAGAUGAGGAUAGCCGAAAUCUCCACGCCGGAGCUCCGGCGAGCCCAAGCGGAAGCUCAGCCGCAGGACUCCUCUCCCGUCCUCUCUCAGAUCGAGUCUCUGAUCGAGCAUUGUGAAGAAGACUUCACCUCCGGUCCCAAGCUGAGCCAACUCGCCUCGAGUCUCAGGCAGUCCCUCGCUCGGCUGAGCGAACUUGCUCCCUUCUCCAACUCGGUCAACCUCCACAUAUGGAAGCUCAGUUACCGCCUCUGGAACGCCUGCGUCGACCUCUCCAAUGCCUCCUCCAUCCGCUCCUCCUCCUCCUCAACCACAGCUGCCGAGGACCAGGCAAAGCUCCGGCAUGUCACUGCCGACAUGCUCUCCCUCGCCGGAGACACCGCCGGCGUCGCCUCUCCCGAGUUCAAGACCGCCUUCUUCUACUACAAAACUGGCCUGAUGUGGCACAGUCUCCGAAAGUUUGACCUCGCGUCGAGUUGCUUCGAGAAGGCCACCGAUCUCCUGUCGAAGGUAGAUCCCCGUACAGUUACUGACACAGGACAGCGGAAGCUGCUGCUGGAUCUCAACCUCGCCCGAUCACAGACUGCUUGGGAGGUUUCAGAUCCUAUUCUCGCUGUAACUCUGUUGAGCCGUGCAAAAUCAUUUCUAUUUGGAUCAUCUGAUCACUAUAAAGCCCUAGCGAAUCAGUACUUGGCCUUUGGCAAGAGUUUUCUGUCAAUCGAUAACGAGAAUAAGGGUCAGAGCUUCAGAGAAGCGCUGAAGCUGAUGAAUGGUGCCCUGGAACUGUGCGAGAAGGGAUUCAGUACUGCGAGGACACGGCAAGAGAAGCUGGAUCUCAAAGCCCUGAAAUCGAAGACCCUCCGAUUCGUCGCGGCCGUCCACUUGCAGAUGGAAGAAUAUGAGAGCGUUAUAAAAUGCGUGAAGGUACUGAGAGAAGGUGAAGGAGGAGACCACCACCCUUGCCUCCCUGUCCUGGCAAUGAAGGGGUGGCUGGGGCUCGGAAGGUAUGGUGAGGCGGAGAAAGAGCUGAGGGGCAUGGUCGUGAAUAAGGGGGUCCCAGAAGGCGUUUGGGUGUCGGCUGUGGAGACGUACUUCCAGGCAGCAGGGACAGCUGGGUUGGAGACAGCGAAGGGAGUCUUCCUGGGACUCCUGGGAAGGUGCCAUGUCAGUGCGGGGGCUGCAGUGAGAAUUGUUCACAGGGUGAUUGGUGGUGGAGGGGAAGGGUUGAAGGUGAGGGCUAAGGUGGUGGUGGAGCUGGUCUCGGAUGAGAGAGUGGUGGCGCUAUUUGCAGGGGAUGGAGCUGCUAAGGAGAGGAUUGCAAUGCAUGCUGUUCUUUGGAACUGUGCUGCAGAUCACUUCCGGUCCAAAGACUACGAAGCAAGUGCUGAGAUGUACGAGAAAUCAAUGCUCUAUGUUCCUCAUGAUAUAGAAAACAGAGUUCUCCGAGCCAAGAGCUUCAGGGUUUUGUGCUUAUGCCACCUGGGUCUCUCUCAGCUGGAUCGAGCUAAAGAAUAUAUCGAUGAGGCUGAAAAGCUUGAACCGAAUGUUGCGUGUGCUUUCCUCAAGUUCAAGAUUUAUUUGCAAGGUAAAGAUCACAGUGGCGCCGUGACCCAGAUUCUUGCAAUGACAACCUGCCUCGACUAUACUCCAGACUUCCUCUUGCUAGCGGCUCAUGAAGCUAUUGCUUGCCGUGCUCUUCCGGUUGCUGUUGCCUCUUUAUCCAAUCUCCUGAACUUCUAUGCCUCUGGGAAACCCAUGCCAGGCAAUCAAACCGUAGUUUUCCGUACCUUGGUCACAAUCCUCACUCAAGACCCAGGCAAUGAAUCUGAAAUCCUUAAAUAUGUUAAGCAUGUGCAUUCACGAGCAUCUGACGUGGGGCCUGAUUGCUUCUUCGGGAAAGGUGAGGUUGCAAGACGUGAACUGAAAUGGUUUGCGGUGACUUCAUGGAAUUUUGGGAAGAAAGCUGGGGAGAAUAAAGACUAUUCAUUAAGUGCUGAAUUCCUCAGCGUUGCAUCUGAGUUUUAUGGUCUUUUAGCUGAUGGACAAGUGGAUGAAAACAGUGUCAUGGUUUGCAAAUCACUAAUCCUUACCAUCUCCGCCAUGUUAGCUUCAGAGAAUCAAAAGAAGGCUGUUCUUCUCGACUCUGAUGUGAAAAAAAUGGUAGAGUUGCUAGAUAGAGCUGGAAAGAUAUUGAAGUCCUCCUCAACAGCAAUGCAACUUGGUGAUGAUCAACCUUUGUCAUUGGAGCCCGAAUUUCACUUCCUGUACACUUUCAACAGCUAUGAGCUAUAUGGGAGGAUGAAUAAUCCAAAAUCUCAACUUCUUAUCGUAAAGAGUUUUGCAAGCUCAAAGGCUUGUACCCCAGCAUAUCUCCUUCAGAUCGGUCUGACAGCAUCUCAGGGGCCUCGGCCCAACCAUGAGGUAGCAUUCCUUGCCCUGAACCAGUCCCUCUCCGAGCUCCUAUCUUCGGUUUCACCAGACUACAAAACUGUUGCUCUCAUUGUCCGAAAGCUGAUAACCGUUACCAGUAUUCACAAGGGUGAUGCAGAUGACGAUGCAGUGUAUAACAUUUACAAACAAGCGUACAGAAUAAUGGUAGGUUUAAAAGGAGGUGAGUUCCCAAUUGAAGAGGGCAAGUGGCUUGCCACAACUGCAUGGAAUCGGGCGGCCUUUCCCAUCCGCUUGGGGCAUUUUGGCUCAGCAAAGAAAUGGAUGAAGGUUGGGUUAGAACUCUCGGGGCUUGUCCCUGGAAUGGAGACUUACAAGGCUUGCAUGGAGGACUUUGUUGCUAGCCUUGACAAGAAAGUCGGUAUGCAUAACGGCAGUGAAGAGCAGCCUCAGACAAUAGCAGUGUGAGGUCUCUUCUACUGUCUACUAUACAGAAUAAGGGGUAAAUGUUUCUCCUAUAAUAUAAGCUGCACUUGGUAUGUAUAGUUAGAGGAAUCAAUACUGUCAUUUCGAUGGAACUUAGUCUUUGGCUGAAACUUAUUAUGAAUGAAAGUCGGUUAAUAUCCAUCUUCAAGAAUCACUUGUUUUCCCUCAUUAUGGCCAUUUCUAACUUCUUCAUUCUCGAGGCUGGCUUCGAAAACAAACCGUCCUUGCACAUGAUGAUACUCAUCAUGGAUCUUUACAUAAAUUAGAUAAUUAUCGCAGUGGGCUAGAUGGUUUGAGUGAUAUUAUAUGGUUAUCCGCCAGAAAAAAGCAUAGGUUUGACAAGGGAGUGACAAGUCAGCAGGAUUUGCAACAAUUUGGAUAAGGGAUAAGGUCCUGAGCACUUCUCAUCCAAUCACAGCCCUCCAUUGCCUCCACCUCAUUGGCUCCUUCCCAUCAG